UCUCAGUGCUGUGAACAAAAUAUAAAAUAAAAUAUAAAAAAAACCUCCAACUUCACUUAUUUACUUCAAUUAGCCCGGCAGAACAAAAGAUUGCUCCUUGUUUUCCCCCGCUCUACCAGUCUACAGAAGUUGCUCUAGUUUAUUUCAUGGUCACUUCGAACCGCUGAAAAUUGAAACCAGAAAAAUACCAACAAAUUUCCCUACAAAAAUCACUGCAAGAAUGAGGUAAAUUACAUGCUCAUCAGUUUUUAAAAGCCGGACAAAAC